rnacentral:misc_RNA from 1 species
GAUGAAGAACGCAGCGAAAUGCGAUAAGUGAUGUGAAUUGCAGAAUUCAGUGAAUCAUCGAAUCUUUGAACGCACAUUGCGCCCGCUAGUAUUCUGGCGGGCAUGCCUGUCCGAGCGUCAUUUCAACCCUCAAGCCCCCGGGCUUGGUGUUGGGGAUCGGCGAGCCUCCGCGCCCGCCGUCCCCUAAAUCUAGUGGCGGUCUCGCUGUAGCUUCCUCUGCGUAGUAGCACACCUCGCACUGGGAAACAGCGCGGCCACGCCGUUAAACCCCCAACUUCUGAACGUUUGACCUCGGAUCAGGUAGGAAUACCCGCUGAACUUAAGCAUAUCAAUAAGCGGAGGA